AUUGAACGCUGGCGGCGUGCCUAACACAUGCAAGUCGAGCGGCAGCGCGGGAGCAAUCCUGGCGGCGAGCGGCGGACGGGUGAGCAAUAUUUGGGAAUCUGCCUAUUAGUGGGGGACAACCCGGGGAAACUCGGGCUAAUACCGCAUACGCACCAUGGUGGAAAGCCGGGGACCGCAAGGCCUGGCGCUAAUAGAUGAGCCCAAAUCGGAUUAGCUAGUUGGUGAGGUAAUGGCUCACCAAGGCUACGAUCCGUAGCUGGUCUGAGAGGACGACCAGCCACACCGGAACUGAGACACGGUCCGGACUCCUACGGGAGGCAGCAGUGGGGAAUAUUGGACAAUGGGCGAAAGCCUGAUCCAGCGACGCCGCGUGGGUGAAGAAGGCCUGCGGGUUGUAAAGCCCUUUCGGUGGGGAAGAAAAGCCUCGACCUAACACGUCGGGGUCUUGACGUAACCCAAGAAAGAAGCACCGGCUAACUCUGUGCCAGCAGCCGCGGUAAUACAGAGGGUGCGAGCGUUAAUCGGAAUUACUGGGCGUAAAGCGCGCGUAGGCGGCUUUGCAAGUCGAGUGUGAAAUCCCCGGGCUUAACCCGGGAACUGCAUUCGAGACUGCAUAGCUAGAGUAUGGGAGAGGGAAGUGGAAUUUCAGGU
rnacentral:rRNA from 1 species